GACGAACGCUGGCGGCGUGCUUAACACAUGCAAGUCGAACGGAAAGGCCCCCUUGUGGGGUACUCGAGUGGCGAACGGGUGAGUAACACGUGAGUAACCUACCCUUGACUUUGGGAUAACUUCAGGAAACUGGGGCUAAUACCGGAUAGGAGCUCCUGCUGCAUGGUGGGGGUUGGAAAGUUUCGGCGGUUGGGGAUGGACUCGCGGCUUAUCAGCUUGUUGGUGGGGUAGUGGCUCACCAAGGCUUUGACGGGUAGCCGGCCUGAGAGGGUGACCGGCCACAUGGGGAAGGAGAUGAGGGCGGGAACACGACGGGAGGGAGGAGUGGGGAAGAGUGCACAAUGGGCGGAGGCCGGAUGCAGCCACGCAGUGUGCGGGAGGACGGGCUUCGGGUAGGAAACCGAUGUCGCCGGUGAAGAAGCGAGAGGGACGGUAAUGGGUAAAGAAGCACCGGAUAACUACGUG
rnacentral:rRNA from 1 species